rnacentral:rRNA from 1 species
GACGAACGCUGGCGGCGUGCUUAACACAUGCAAGUCGAACGGAAAGGCCCUGCUUUUGUGGGGUUCUCGAGUGGCGAACGGGUGAGUAACACGUGAGUAACCUGCCCUUGACUUUGGGAUAACUUCAGGAAACUGGGGCUAAUAUCGGAUAGGAGCUCCUGCUGCAUGGUGGGGGUUGGAAAGUUUCGGCGGUUGGGGAUGGACUCGCGGCUUAUCAGCUUGUUGGUGGGGUAGUGGCUUACCAAGGCUUUGACGGGUAGCCGGCCUGAGAGGGUGACCGGCGACAUUGGGACUGCGAGACGGCCCAGACGCCUACGGGAGGCAGCAGUGGGGAAUAUUGCACAGUGGGCGGAAGCCUGAUGCAGAAGCGCCGCGUGCGGGAUGACGGCCUUCGGGUUGUAAACCGCUUUCGCCUGUGACGAAGCGGGAGUGACGGUAAUGGGUAAAGAAGCACCGGCUAACUACGUG